AACGAACGCUGGCGGCAGGCUUAACACAUGCAAGUCGAACGCGUGUAGCAAUACACGAGUGGCGCACGGGUGAGUAACGCGUGGAUAUCUGCCUUUUGGUUCGGAAUAACUCCGGGAAACUGGAGCUAAUACCGGAUGGUUCCUACGGGAUAAAGAUUUAUCGCCGAAAGAUGAGUCCGCGUACGAUUAGCUAGUUGGUGGGGUAAUGGCCCACCAAGGCGACGAUCGUUAGCUGGUCUGAGAGGACGAUCAGCCACACUGGGACUGAGACACGGCCCAGACUCCUACGGGAGGCAGCAGUGGGGAAUAUUGGACAAUGGGGGCAACCCUGAUCCAGCCAUGCCGCGUGAGUGAUGAAGGCCUUCGGGUUGUAAAGCUCUUUUGGCGGGGACGAUGAUGACGGUACCCGCAGAAUAAGCCCCGGCUAACUUCGUGCCAGCCGCCGCGGUAAUAC
rnacentral:rRNA from 1 species